rnacentral:tRNA from 1 species
GGCUCUGUAGCUCAGUUGGUAGAGCAGAGGACUGAAAAUCCUUGUGUCGGCGGUUCAAUUCCGUCCAGAGCCAC